CAGCCGUAAACUAUGCGCGUUAGGUGUACUGGUGACCACGAGUCACCGGGGUGCCGAAGGGAAACCGUGAAACGUGCCGCCUGGGAAGUACGGUCGCAAGGCUGAAACUUAAAGGAAUUGGCGGGGGGAGCACCACAACGGGUGGAGCCUGCGGUUUAAUUGGACUCAACGCCGGACAUCUCACCGGAUAAGACAGCUGAAUGAUUGUCAAUCUGAAGGUUUUACAUGACUAGCUGAGAGGAGGUGCAUGGCGUCAGUGACUGU
rnacentral:rRNA from 1 species